CUACGCUGAUUACACUGAGCGGGUUAUCUGCUCAGGUAAAUGUGUUUUAUUCAUAUAUAUUUCUUCUCCUGGAUAUAUAUAUAUAUAUAUUUAUACAGAGAGCACUAUCCGUUGUACCUUUGUUUGUAUUUUUACAUAUCCUGCUGACAAGAUACGCAUUGGCCUAUAUCUUCUACCAUAUCCCUGAAGUGGGGGAAUAAUACCACUGCAAGCGCUUCACACUAGAGCUGGUUUUAAG